AAUAUUUGACAAUGGGCGAAAGCCUGAUCCAGCCAUGCCGCGUGAGUGAUGAAGGCCCUAGGGUUGUAAAGCUCUUUCGUGCGGGAAGAUAAUGACGGUACCGCCAGAAUAAGCCCCCGCUAACCUCGUGCCAGCAGCCGCGGUAAUACGAAGGGGGCUAGCGUUGCUCGGAAUCACUGGGCGUAAAGGGUGGGCAGGCGGAUUUUUAAGUCAGGAGUGAAAUCCUGGAGCUCAACUCCAGAACUGCCUUUGAUACUGGGAAUCUUGAGUUCGGGAGAGGUGAGGGGAACUGCGAGUGUAGAGGUGAAAUUCGUAGAUAUUCGCAAGAACACCAGUGGCGAAGGCGGCUCACUGGCCCGAUACUGACGCUGAAGCACGAAAGCGUGGGGAGCAAACAGG
rnacentral:rRNA from 1 species